UUCGUAUCAAGGCAUCCUCCCUCCCGUCCGGCCCCGUCGCGCCGCCCGCAGCUGCCGCGCCAACACAGAGCACGGACGGAGCAGCGGCGGCAAAUGGCGGGAGCUAGAAGCUCAUGCCCUGCCGAUACGUCCGGUGCCCAGGCCCGGCCCCAUUUCUUAAGCCGGCUGUGUCGUCCUCCGCGCCGCUCGCCGGUCGCCACACUCCCGUCACCGCUCGCCGGCGCCGCCCAAGACCCCGGUUCGUCUGUAACGUUUCAAUCCCUUUCCGGCUCUUCUACCAGUGUCUUCAAUCUACUCUAGUCAGCUUGUGGAUCUAUCGUUUCUUCAUCGAGGCGAUCAACUCCAGUUGGCGGCUGCCCACAUCCUGUUCGACGGAAUGCCUCCAGGCGAGAGCAAGGGAGGGGCGCCACUGGCGGCGAAGGCAUCGUCGACGCCCGCAUCCUAUUCGACGGAAUUCGUGCAGACGAGAGCAUGGGAGGGGUCACUCAGGCGGCUGGCAGCGGCGGCGUUGAUGUCCUCCCGGACAAAGUUCUGCAGCACAUCCUCUGCUUCCUGGAGGCGCAGGAUUUGAGAUGAUGCCCGAUGUUUAGUAAGUUAAAGGCCUUGUUGCUUGAUGACUACUGGUGCGUGCCUGAUGACUUCCGUGCACUGGUUUGUAUCCUUGAACGCUCACCAGUUUAGAGAAGCUCGCUCUUAAACUUUCUUCUAAGAAACAUAGACGACAAAGGGAAAAGGAAAGGAAGUCUCGGACCGAUGGAGGAAUCAGCUGCAAUUUUGGAACACCUGAAGAUAAUCGAAGUGAGAUGUGAUGCUGUUGAUGAGAGGAUUUUUAAACUUGCCUUAUUCCAGUGCGCAUUUCACAUACGUUUGAGCUUUUACUUGCUGUCACUUAUGGAUCAUGCGCAUUUUCCUGGUGACCUGGAUCAAAUAAUUGUCCUAAUCAUACUUUGAUUCAGCAUUUGAGCUGAUGGACACCAGCAGAGCGCUGCUGGAUCCGCUGCACGCGGGCUUAUUGGAUUUGGGCUGCUUGGGGAGCGUAUGGGCUGGAGAGUUACUGGGCUGCUAGUUUCCCAUCAUGUGUGUCAGUGUGUGUACUUGGAAUGAGCCGCAUACAUUUCCGGUGCUGACUGAAGAAGUACAGUGAAAAACACCGGUUCAUAUGCUUGAUGCUUCCUCACAAAUCAAAAUAAAGAAAAAGAUGC